UACGGAGGGUGCAAGCGUUGUCCGGAAUCACUGGGCGUAAAGGGCGCGUAGGCGGCUCAUGAAGGCUGUGGUGAAAGUCCGGGGCUCAACCUCGGACCUGCAUUCGAUACUGCCGGGCUGGAGGCAGGUAGGGGAGAGUGGAAUUCCUAGUGUAGCGGUGAAAUGCGUAGAGAUUAGGAAGAACACCAGUGGCGAAGGCGACUUACUGGACUGUAACUGACGCUGAGGCAUGAAAGCGUGGGGAGCAAACAGG
rnacentral:rRNA from 1 species